AUAUUUGUCGAGUAGCAUUGUCUUCUGUCAUAUGAAACGGUGCACCUCACAUGUACCUUCACAGUUUUUUUGUCAUUCUCUCUUUCUCUUCCACUUUUAGAUUUCCCUUUGCUUCUUCCCCUGGGCUUCUUUCCUCUGCUCUCUCUUCUGCUCUCUCUCUCUCUGCCGAAGAUCAGGACCUGAAACCGGGUGACGUGACCAGCAAACGCAAUCUAUGGGAAAACAAGGGGUCCUCUGCUACCAAGCAUUCCCCAUGCUAAUUGUCUACAGAUCUGACCACCUUGAGGAGAGCUUCUCUCGCACUUUCGCUCACUGCCACGAGAGCAGGUGGUUGGUUUGCAGGAAGGAGGUGCUUUAAAGUCACCAAGAGUAACUACUGUGGCACUAAUUGACUUUUCAUUAUGCUCCGCCCACCUCAGCUUCCAUUGCUCGCUCAGACAAGUGGUCUAACGUGUCUAAUAGGAAUGAACUGGAGAUUUUCAGGAAACAAUGAGAUUGUUCAGUAGAAUGUGCUCAUGGAAGUGGAAAAAGUGUGAUACUGCAAAGCAUCUGUAUAUGCCACUUUGUAUAUAACAUUGCAAGUUUGCAAGUGAAAACCUUAAAUAAAUUAUAUAAUUAUGCAGUCAUGUGAACAAAAACUAUGGAGACUGUGAAUCAGAAUCGGUUACGACAGUAAACACAGUAAAUUGAAAAGAGAAAAGCCUCUUUUAUAACAUUUUUGUAACAAAUGUAAUAGCUCACAAUGGUACUGUGAACUUAUUAGUCACUUGCAUCUGCUAUGACCUGAAUCAAUAUGUAAAUUAAUUAACAUUGAUUUACCCUCAAGCAAAUGUAGGUCAAGAUUUAUUUAAACAUUGGGAAAAGGAAAAAAUUAUGGGUGGCUUGUGUCACUAUUAUAAGUGAC